rnacentral:rRNA from 1 species
UACGGAGGGUGCAAGCGUUAUCCGGAUUCACUGGGUUUAAAGGGCGCGUAGGUGGGUUGGUAAGUCAGUGGUGAAAUCUCCGAGCUUAACUUGGAAACUGCCAUUGAUACUAUCAGUCUUGAAUAUUGUGGAGGUUAGCGGAAUAUGUCAUGUAGCGGUGAAAUGCUUAGAUAUGACAUAGAACACCAAUUGCGAAGGCAGCUGGCUACGCAUAUAUUGACACUGAGGCACGAAAGCGUGGGGAUCAAACAGG